AACACCUCAAAUCUCUACUUUAUUGUAAAGAAUUGGACUUGAGCAAUCCCAACUCUCGCAAGAGAGGAGGGUUGCUUGAAAUGCAGGUGCAGCUAGACAUUCUUCUGAGCUAAAAGCAUAUUUAUUUAGUCCCGUCAAACGGAUUAUUACUUUUGCUCUAGCUAAUAUAAAGGUUGAUUGCGCUACAUGCUGACUGAUGCAGGAUUCACAAGAACCGCAAGGUUUUUGUAA
rnacentral:misc_RNA from 1 species